rnacentral:lncRNA from 1 species
UUGGAUCUCUCUGUGACGCGGUUUUAGCUUUCUAUUCGAUGUUCUUCGAGAAUGUGGCGAGCCUGGUUGUUCUUCAAGAGUCGCGCUUAAUCUUCAUCAUUCUAGAUCAUUGUUUAGGGUUUAGAUUCAUAUUUUUAUCGUGAUUUUUUUUCUGGGUAUUCUUUACACAAGUUAGCAAAGAUAGAGGCCUACAGGGAGCGACUUAGUAAUGAAAUGGUAGGCUCAUCAUGUUUUAUUCAGAUUUUUUUUUUUUUUUUGUAUUGGCUUUUAAUUUGGUUUUUGAUUCUCUAAUGCUUAGAACUCUCCAGAUAAUGUAUACUAUUUUGUUCUUCGUUCAGAUCUCGGACAUUGUUACGAUAUUUUACAAUUUAGAUGUGAUUGCUUUUGUUUUGUUUGCUUGAAUAAUGAAUUUUU